UGAAGGGAACCAAAGGUCUGGUCUGGCGUAUCUGGGAGUGCAGAGAAAUGUUCUGGUAUGCCUCAGUCUGUGAAAACAAAUUGCUUGCAGGCUUGAUCUUAUGAAAAGGGAACCUUAGUCAUCGUGGUUGAAAAUGCUGAGAAAAGAACUAAGGAUUUGUGUACAAUAACAGUGUGUCAUGGCAUAAAUUGAUGUAACUCCAUUGAAGUGAAGGAAACUACACAGAUUUUUUUUACCAGCUGAGGAUCUGGGACAUUGUGACUAAAGGAAACUACUCUCAUUCCAUGCACAGGAUGAACAAUACCCAGGGAAUGAAUCAAGGUUGUGUAGUGAAGGAAACUAUUGUCUACAGGACCAUAAGAACAUAAGAAUGGCCCUACUGGGUCAGACCAAAGGUCCAUCUAUCCCAGUAUCCUGUCUUACAACAGUGGCCAGUGCCAGGUGCCC